rnacentral:rRNA from 1 species
UACGUAGGUGGCAAGCGUUGUCCGGAAUUAUUGGGCGUAAAGCGCGCGCAGGCGGUCCUUUAAGUCUGAUGUGAAAGCCCACGGCUCAACCGUGGAGGGUCAUUGGAAACUGGGGGACUUGAGUGCAGAAGAGGAGAGUGGAAUUCCACGUGUAGCGGUGAAAUGCGUAGAGAUAUGGAGGAACACCAGUGGCGAAGGCGACUCUCUGGUCUGUAACUGACGCUGAGGCGCGAAAGCGUGGGGAGCAAACAGG